AAUACAAGAAUCUGUUUCUUGGCCUCAUUAUCUGUGUUCUUCUGGAUGUUACUGUUGUACUUCCAUUUUGUUGUGCUUGGAGGUAGUACCGUAGAUCAAUCUGUCAAAUUACAGUUACAAGCCGGUCCUGUUUACACAGAAUUGAAGCCUACCCGUGUAACUAGUGAUCCUCAGAAAGAAAACCAAAACACUGAAUCGAAACCUAUCCAUGUAACCAGUGAUCAUCAGAUGGACAACCAAAACACUGUAUCGGCACCUAUCCGUCUAACCGAUGAUCAUCAGGUGGACAACCAAAACACAGAAUCAACCCCUACCGUUGUAGCCCCAGCUGCUCAUCAAACGGAGUCCCCUGCAAAAGCCAUCCAGAUUCAUGAAGCGGAGAAAUAUCCGUUCAUGAAAGCAUUGAGAACUGCUGAAAACAAGAAU
rnacentral:lncRNA from 1 species